AUGGAAACUAAAAAUGUAAACAUGGCUGAAAACAGCGAAGAGGAUGAUGUUGGAGGCGCGGUGGUCGUGGGCAGGGACAGAACGCUGCAGGAAGAUUACACCAGCUCAGAUGGAGAGAUGGAAGAGGUUGACUCUGAAGAGGAUGAAGAAGAACAUGUGGCGCCAGGAGAGACACCAGGGGGUUUGUUGAGGUGGCUUAGUUGUAGCGACGAGUUUUGCGAUGGUGACAGAGAGGACAGGUUCUUGAUUGAGGGGCAUCCGCUGACCCCCGAGGGGGCUGGAGACCCUGAAGUUAGAAUGGAGGAGGCUGAUGAGGAGGUGUCCUAUUUUGAGAAAGUCCCUAAACGUGGCAACGAGGUGAUGAUAAGAAGUGACGAGAUUAAAAAGGAUGCGCAAGACAGGGAAAGGAAAGAGGACGCGUGUGAUUACAAGCAAGAGGGCAUGACCGUCGAACAAGAAGAAGCUGUUCUCCCUCCGUGCUGUGAGAACAGGCUUGAAGGUCCUGGUGGAGAUGGACCAGUGAGGGAGUUUCCAGAAAUAUCGGUGCAAAAUCUGCAGGAUCUUAUUGCUGAAGUUGAUAGUGAGAAACUUGGAGAGAAAAUGAAUAUUUUCUCAGGGGAGGAGCACCAAGAUGCAGGUGAGAGCUUUGCAGAUUAUCCCUCAGACUUUUCCUCAUGUGAAUAUGUAGAAGAGGGAGGUAAAAACCAAGAUAUGAAGCGCCAGUCAGAAGCAUUGGCUUGUGCAUCCGGCAGCAGUUCAAUUGUUCAGCAGAACACCUUCCUGGAAGAAUCAGAUGGGAUGCAGAUGGGAGGAGCGGAGGACUCUGAUGAGGAGGGGGACAGGAACCGGCACAGCAGAUAUUUAGAACAGGAAGCCAAUGAGCUCAGCAGCGUGGACGUGGCUAAUGGAGAGAAACGCAUGGUGGAGAACGUGUCUGGCAACGCAUCUGCAACGGGGCUUGAUGAUGGCAGUGCGACAAGUGACAGUGAAUCCUUCACCUCCAGUGACGAUGAGGUGCAAGAAAAAAGGAGCGACGAAGAACUCUUUGGUAGUACGUAUCUACAAGAUCAACUGGAGGAGACUCGCGGUGGCAGCAGAGCAUCAUUUUCUGAUUGCUACGACAGAAUGGAUCCGGCAGAUUUCAACAAUCACUUUAACCCAGAGCUGUUAACAGCUGACCCUCUUUUGUCUGAAGACAUGUUAACCACAGAGGACGCAGACACGCCGCUUUCAGACGCGACUCUGCGUCCUGCAGAAGACGCCAACAGCUACUCGGUGGUACAGGAAGGGGAUGCAAAAACAAGCAAGUCCUCUCACCAGGGAUCGCUGGACGAUAACUUCGUCUUCAACACGGAACCUGAAGCUUGUGGAAGCUCCGCUGAGACAGGACAGCUGGGAGACGACGAGUGUGAAGAGGAGAGCGACUGGCAACAAGAGCAGCAGAGAAUCAAGUCGUUCUACGAGUUUUAUGAUGACAGCGACGGAGAGAAUGAAAGAGGGGGAAGGCUGGUAAAAGUUCAGUUUUGUGCAGAUCCAUUAUCGCAAGUCAUUCACUAUGAAACUGACAGCAGUGACAGAGCUUCACUCAGCAGCUCCAUAGAUGGGGAGGAGGACCUGAACUCUGCAGACACGUCUGAGUGCUCCAACAUGCUGAAGCCGACACUGAAGAUUGGUCUCGCGAUACUGACUGGACUGCUCAUGUUCUGGUUUGUCACAGACCGAGUGGGCUGCUUUGACCAUGUGUUUUUCUUUUAA
ensembl:lncRNA